UUUUUAAUUAAWUUAUUUAAACUUGAGUAGUAAUAGUUAUGGUCUUGAAACUUAAAGAAUUUGGCGGUAUUUUAGUCUGUUUAGAGGAAUCUGUUCCGUUAUCGAUAAUCCACGUUGGACCUUACUUAAGUUUAAUAAUAUGUAUACCGCCGUUUAUUGAAGAUCUUUUUAGGGAAUUUUCUUAAAAGUUAAUUAAAUAGUAUUUCAGGUCAAGGUGCAGUUUAUAUUUAAGAGGAAAUGGAUUACAAUAUUUAUUAAGAUUAUGGAUUAUGGAUUGAAAUAUUUAUAUAAAAUUGGAUUUAAUAGUAAUAUUUUAUAGAUUGAAAAUGUGAUUUAGCUCUAAAAUGUGC
rnacentral:rRNA from 1 species